AGCGAACGCUGGCGGCAGGCCUACACAUGCAAGUCGAACGGAUCCUUCGGAUGCUGACGAGUGGCGAACGGGUGAGUAAUACAUCGGAACGUGCCUAGUAGUGGGGGAUAACUAAUCGAAAGAGUGGCUUAUACCGCAUGAGGUCUACGGAUGAAAGCAGGGGAUCGCAAGACCUUGUGCUACUAGAGCGGCCGAUGGCAGAUUAGGUAGUUGGUGGGAUAAAAGCUUACCAAGCCGACGAUCUGUAGCUGGUCUGAGAGGACGAUCAGCCACACUGGGACUGAGACACGGCCCAGACUCCUACGGGAGGCAGCAGUGGGGAAUUUUGGACAAUGGGCGAAAGCCUGAUCCAGCAAUGCCGCGUGCAGGAUGAAGGCCUUCGGGUUGUAAACUGCUUUUGUACGGAACGAAAAGCCCCGGGUUAAUACCCUGGGGUCAUGACGGUACCGUAAGAAUAAGCACCGGCUAACUACGUGCCAGCCGCCGCAGUAA
rnacentral:rRNA from 1 species